rnacentral:rRNA from 1 species
CCUACGGGAGGCAGCAGUGGGGAAUUUUGGACAAUGGGCGCAAGCCUGAUCCAGCCAUGCCGCGUGCGGGAAGAAGGCCUUCGGGUUGUAAACCGCUUUUGUCAGGGAAGAAAAGGUUCUGGUUAAUACCUGGGACUCAUGACGGUACCUGAAGAAUAAGCACCGGCUAACUACGUGCCAGCAGCCGCGGUAAUACGUAGGGUGCAAGCGUUAAUCGGAAUUACUGGGCGUAACGCGUGCGCAGGCGGUUAUGCAAGACAGAGGUGAAAUCCCCGGGCUCAACCUGGGAAUUGCCUUUGUGACUGCAUAGCUAGAGUACGGUAGAGGGGGAUGGAAUUCCGCGUGUAGCAGUGAAAUGCGUAGAUAUGCGGAGGAACACCGAUGGCGAAGGCAAUCCCCUGGACCUGUACUGACGCUCAUGCACGAAAGCGUGGGGAGCAAACAGGAUUAGAUACCCUGGUAGUCCACGCCCUAAACGAUGUCAACUGGUUGUUGGGAGGGUUUCUUCUCAGUAACGUAGCUAACGCGUGAAGUUGACCGCCUGGGGAGUACGGCCGCAAGGUUGAAACUCAAAGAGUAGUGCGNGNGAGAGCGACGACGACGACGAGGAGGAGG